rnacentral:rRNA from 1 species
GUCAUACGCUCGUCUCAAAGAUUAAGCCAUGCAUGUGUAAGUAUAAAUAAUUCUACUUUGAAACUGCGAAUGGCUCAUUAUAUCAGUUAUAGUUUAUUUGAUGAAAUGUACUACUUGGAUAACCGUAGUAAUUCUAGAGCUAAUACAUGAUCAAUUCCUCGACUUUGAAGAGGUGUAUUUAUUAGAAUGAAAACCAAUAGACUCUGUCUGUUUGUGAGUAAUAAUAACUUGUCAUAUCGCAUGCUUAGGUAGCGAUGUGUCUUUUAAGUUUCUGCCCUAUCAGCUUUCGAUGGUAGUGUAUUGGACUACCAUGGCAGUAACGGGU